rnacentral:rRNA from 1 species
CCUACGGGAGACUGCAGUGAGGAAUAUUGGUCAAUGGGCGCUAGCCUGAACCAGCCAAGUAGCGUGAAGGAUGACUGCCCUAUGGGUUGUAAACUUCUUUUAUAUGGGAAUAAAGUGCAGUAUGUAUACUUCUUUUCAUGUACCUUAUGAUUAAGGAUCGGCUAACUCCGUGCCAGCAGCCGCGGUAAUACGGAGGAUCCGAGCGUUAUCCGGAUUUAUUGGGUUUAAAGGGAGCGUAGUGGGGUUGUUAAGUCAGUUGUGAAAGUUUGCGGCUCAACCGUAAAAUUGCAGUUGAUACUGGCAGCCUUGAGUACAGUAGAGGUAGGCGGAAUUCGUGGUGUAGCGGUGAAAUGCUUAGAUAUCACGAAGAACUCCGAUUGCGAAGGCAGCCUGCUGGACUGCCACUGACACUGAUGCUCGAAAGUGUGGGUAUCAAACAGGAUUAGAUACCCGUGUAGUC